AUCGCUGGUUUUAGGCAUCGGCUGAACGGGCUUGUGAAGUUGAUAGGGCCGCAAGGAAGAAACCAAUGAGAAUGUUCUUUGACAAGCGCCGCGUACUUACGGAGGAUGCGCCGCGUAGGCCGUACCAGAACAAUGCCUCUACAGCAUCCUUCGAGUGCCCACUUCUCAAAGGGCUGCACUAUGGGCAGCGGAAGCUGUUGCUGUCGGAAGUGGAGUUUUUGGUACAGAUUUCCAUGCACGUCAAACGCCGCGGCAGCGGUGCGUCUCCGAAGAAGGUGCUUGUCGUGUACGCCGGCGCUGCUUGCGGACUUCAUUUACCGCUUAUCUUUUCUCUUUUUCCGGCGCUCGAUUUUGUUCUCAUUGACCCAGCACCGUUUUGCUCACGAGUCAAGGAGAUUGCGUCGAAGGAGGGGAGCUGUGUGCUGGAGCUCAUCGACGACUUCUGCACCGCGGAGCUGUGCUUGCGGAUUCGGCGUAGUUACCAGGAAACGCAUGACAUUUUCCUGGUGAGUGACAUCCGUUCCGGCCAACCUACGGGAAUGUCGAUGAAUCAGGAACACACGGACAUGAUCCAGCAAGACAACAACGCCCAGCGAGAGUGGUGUUUCUCCCUGGAGGUAGAGGCGGCAAUGCUGAAGUUUCACCCUCCUUAUCCGGCCGCCAAGGAUAGCGACCUGGCCAACUACAAGGCACAGGACGCGACGGUGGAGGAAUACACAUACCUGGACGGAACACAGCUGCUUGGGGUCUGGGCACCCAAAUCUUCCUCAGAGGUGCGCUUGAUCGUCGUCGGUCCGUUCAAGCGCGGCUACGCGGCGCCUACUCGACGCUACUACUGUACAGUGCACGAGGAGCAGUGCUACGCGUACAACACGGAUAAUAGGUACGAGAAGGACUGCGCGGCGGAGCGCCUCAUCCUGGAGACGUACCUCAGCGCUUUUCCCGGCGCGUCGAAAUCCGUCGAACAACUGUCCAAGACGCUCAGUGAGCAGCUGGAGUAUCCGCUGUUUUGCCCGCUCGAGCCAGGGUUCACAGAACAACAUGCACGGUGGGUGACACUGCUGUACUCGACCAGGAAUCCUGCUGCUCUCCAGUACUUUGACCUGCUAAAGAACUACAUGUCCGUCGAGCAGGUGGCAGGCCUUGUGACGAAGUACAAGGACUGCUGCGAGAUCCCUACUGGAGUUAAAGUCGGCGAUAUCGAGUUGAAACCUCGUUUUUGGUCCGUCUUUGCAGCCGGUGACUUUGCUGUCGUGUACUGCUUCCCCGCCGUUCGAUGGGGAUGGAAACAGCACGCGGAUCGACGCCAGCCGAACAAGCAUGAAGACGACGGCAGAAAGAACCAUCGCAGGUUCGCCGGGAAAAAGCGAAGGGCAAACGCCGCUUGACAGGCAACAGCCGAGGAGCGCGCGAAAGACGCUGGUGCUGUUCUCUCUGGCCGCCUACGGCAACAGUCUUGGGCGCUGCUCGCGAAGAAGCUUCUUGAGUCACUGCCUCGCAGGCUACGCAGGGCGAGAGAGGGGGAAAUGAGGCGAAGUAUCGCUGAAUUCCGUCGAGCGAUGCGUUUUGCGUUGGACUGCGCUUGUCUCUCGGAGGCAGUGCGCAACAAGGGAAAGAAGAAAAAACGGAGCGCAACAGAGUCGAAUCGCGGGAGUAGCCGGGCUACUGAAAAUAGUGCAGGUUCAGAGAGAGGCUCUCGAGCCGAUGGCACGGAAGUUUCUCUCUGUUUUUUUUUCUCUCAGAUGCUGCGGAAAAGCCUGCCUUGAGAUCUCCCCUCCCAUCUCCACCACGUUUUCCAGCACAGUGUCACUCGGUCUUCAUCACUGCUGGCAAAGUUGGCCGAGGUGGGGAGGGUGUAGCGAUGUGUAUGCGGGCAAGUGAGCACAGAGAUCAUGAUAUCUGAAGUACAG
rnacentral:misc_RNA from 1 species